UGACAUGACAGAUGAGAAAAGACAGUUUGGAAGGGGGUUUAAUGCUUUUACCAGCUGCAUCUAAUUUUAUUUUGAAAGGAAGAGAACAGGAGCCAUUUCCCCUGGUAGAGACAAGCCAGGAAUCAAGAUAAAUGGAGGCUCUUUUAGUGCUCUGACCACUGAGUGAGGUUUGCAGGCAGACAGGCUUCUGUGCAGUUCCUGCCUGGGUACCUGGGGUAAGCUGCAGGGCCGGACCCUGGGGCAGCCACUGAUUGGGUGUCACUGAGUAGAAGGAGGAGUAGGAGGAGGAUCUUGGGUCCUGUUCUUGCUGGCCAAGACAGCCCCUUUGGAGGCCGCAGGAAGCUGGGAAGUUAGCAGGAAGGCCUCAACUCUGGAUUCCAACAAAUUCAAGUUCCCUGCUCAUUCACCAGCUCUUCAAGUACAGUACUGUGCCAGACUGGAAGGGCCCUUCAAGACAGCCUGGAGGUGUUUGUGCCCCUUCCUGGCUGGGUGACCUUGAGCAAAAUCCUUGAUCUCAGGGAUACAGAAAUCCUUUUCUUCCUCAGGGAUACAGAAAAAGCCACACUGAUCCUCAGCCUAAAGGAACCUUUGCUGAGUCCUGGAGUUCAUUUUCAGCCUCAUAAUCAGUGCCAGAGAGAGAGAGAGAGAGAGAGAGAGAGAGAGAGAGAGAGCGCGUCUGCUCUGACAGCGGGAAGAGGGACAGUUCCAAGGUAUAGCCAAGCUGGCUCUGAAGAGGAUCUCAUGUGAUUGAGCCCAAGAAGAUCGGCCUUACAUGCAUGGCAAACAUCAUAUUAUCUCAAUAGACUGAGAAGCCGAAACAAUAUGUGUAUAUAUGUAUAUAAUAUAUGUAUAUAUUAUAUGUACUAUAGUUAAGAUAGUUAUACUACGAUUUCUCUGAGUUCACUGAAGAGAAAGCUUUGCGCUGGUACUGUAUGGACAAUUGAAUGCAGAUGUUUUGUGCUCUGAUUGACUGAUUUGGGAAUGGCAAUGAGCAGUGUAUGUACCAUUGUUGUCCCCUGAUUGUUGUGUUUUGAAAAUUUGUUUUUUUUUCUCUUUGAA